rnacentral:rRNA from 1 species
CCUACGGGUGGCAGCAGUGGGGAAUAUUGCACAAUGGGGGAAACCCUGAUGCAGCGACGCCGCGUGAGUGAAGAAGUAAUUCGUUAUGUAAAGCUCUAUCAGCAGGGAAGAAAAUGACGGUACCUGAGUAAGAAGCCCCGGCUAACUACGUGCCAGCAGCCGCGGUAAUACGUAGGGGCCAGGCGUAAUCGGGAUUACCUGGGUGAAAGGGGGGCGUAGACGGAAGUGCAGGUCUGGGGUGAAAGGCGGGGGCUCAACCCCGGACUGCUCUGGAAACUGUACGGCUGGAGUGCAGGAGAGGUAAGGGGAAUUCCUAGUGUAGCGGUGAAAUGCGUAGAUAUUAGGAGGAACACCAGUGGCGAAGGCGGCUUACUGGACUGUAACUGACGUUGAGGCUCGAAAGCGUGGGGAGCAAACAGGAUUAGAUACCCUUGUAGUC